GUGGGUACAGCUCAGUGGUAGAGAGCAUGCUUAGCAUGCACAAGGUCCUGGGUUCAAUCCCCAGUACCCCCU
rnacentral:tRNA from 1 species